rnacentral:rRNA from 1 species
CAGUCGCCGCGGUAAUACGUAGGGUGCAAGCGUUGUCCGGAAUCAUUGGGCGUAAAGCGCGCGUAGGUGGCCAUUUAAGUCCGCUGUGAAAGUCAAAGGCUCAACCUUUGAAAGCCGGUGGAUACUGGAUGGCUAGAGUACGGAAGAGGCGAGUGGAAUUCCUGGUGUAGCGGUGGAAUGCGCAGAUAUCAGGAGGAACACCAAUAGCGAAGGCAGCUCGCUGGGACGUUACUGACACUAAGGCGCGAAAGCGUGGGGAGCGAACAGGAUUAGAUACCCCUGUAGUCCCUGUCUCUUAUAC